CAACCUGCCCGAAAGACCGGGACAACAGUUCGAAAGGGCUGCUAAUACCGGAUGUGCCCACACUGUCUCAUGGCGGAGUGAGUAAAUCAUUUAUGGCUUUCGGAGGGGCUUGCGGCCCAUCAGCUAGAUGGCGAGGUAACGGCUCACCAUGGCGACGACGGGUAGCUGGUCUGAGAGGAUGGCCAGCCACAUUGGGACUGAGAUACGGCCCAG
rnacentral:rRNA from 1 species